UGAAAUCUGGCCCUCGGGUCCGAGUUGUAAUUUGUAGAGGAUGCUUUUGGUGCGGUGCCUUCCGAGUUCCCUGGAACGGGACGCCAUAGAGGGUGAGAGCCCCGUCUGGUCGGAUACCAAUCCUCUGUAAAGCUCCUUCGACGAGUCGAGUAGUUUGGGAAUGCUGCUCUAAAUGGGAGGUAUAUGUCUUCUAAAGCUAAAUAUUGGCCAGAGACCGAUAGCGCACAAGUAGAGUGAUCGAAAGAUGAAAAGCACUUUGAAAAGAGGGUUAAACAGUACGUGAAAUUGUUGAAAGGGAAGCGCUUGUGACCAGACUUGGGCCCGGUUAAUCAUCCAGUGUUCUCACUGGUGCACUUGGCCGGCCCAGGCCAGCAUCAGUUCGGCGUGGGGGAUAAAGACUUCGGGAAUGUGGCUCCUCCGGGAGUGUUAUAGCCCGUUGUGUAAUACCCUGUACUGGACUGAGGUUCGCGCAUUCGCAAGGAU
rnacentral:rRNA from 2 species